AACUGUCAGAGUCUCUACUCAUGAUGAUCUCCGAAUAGGUCAAGAAAACACCAUUCUCAAUGAUGUAUGGUGUAUCGUCAUUCUCAAUAACAAACCAUAUUUGAGUGGUAUAUUACACACUCGAAUUGACCUUUGGUGAGGAGGUGUGUUUCAUGAUUGUACCUCAUCAAUGAGCACAUCUGAUUAAGAAUCAACUUGUGAAUACUCUACAGGU
rnacentral:lncRNA from 1 species